AGUCAUUAAAUGUUUUAGUUACUGCAGAGUCGUGUGAGCAAGAAUGGAUUAAGUGACACUGUGUGUCUUCCAAAUGGUCUCUUCCCUUGAAGAUUUCAGGAUUAAAAUUUUGUCUGCAUUUCUCUUGUGCGUGCUACAUUUCCGCCAGAUUAUAUUCUUGGUGAAGAGUUCAAAUUACACAUCGCUGACUCGGUAAUUGAACAAAUUUGAUCGUAUAUGCUACUCUGCAUGGCUUGUGUGAGUGUCUGGUUAAUCUUAGGGGAUACAUUACUAGUCCCCCUUUGCAAAUAAUGAUGGCAGUUGUGAGUGUCUGGGGAGCUAAUCAUGCCGCGUCUGUUUAAUGCGAAGUACACGCACCAAGGAGAUUCUACAUCCGGCAAACUUUAUCGUAUAAACACUGGCGGGCCUUGAAGGGAUCUGAACAGGUGUUAAUAAAUCACUUGCUGUUAUGAAACCCCGACUGUCAGUUGUAGACGGCACAACACUUGUUGCUGGAAAUUGUCCUGAAGGAUUUAAAUUAAUACACUAUCGAGUUUCCGCUUAUCAAUUUUAAUAUUACCAUCCCGUCAGCAUGUCUGUCUAUCUGGUAUUGGGAAAUUCUGUGAGAGGUGGUAAGACUGUAACUUUGAAGUUCAGGCAAACUGCCUAUUUAACAUAUUCGCAGAUAACAUCCUUCUUUGGAAUAGAUCAAAUAUUCUUUUUAGUAAUUUCCUUGACACUUUAAACUGCUGACAUAUUAUAUGAAUUUCCUUUCUUUUUUGAAGACCCAAAUUAAUAUUUUCCUCCCAUCUCCUUAGUUUUCCAAUUACAGAGUUUGAUAAAAUUCUACAUGCAUUCCUGUGGCUCCCCACGCUAACCACACGUGAAGCCCAUCGCUUGACUUCAGCGCCCUAAAACACCGUGUCCAACAUGGAAACCAAUGUUUUCGUUAUACAUUAUCAUAAUUCACUCAUUCAGAGUGAAAGGCCAUAGCAGCUAACGUCGCCGGAAUGGAAACAAGUCUCCACACACCAAACGCCAUGAUGACGUCAAGUGGUGACGACUUUAUUCUGUUCCUGGCUGACGAGUGAGUACAACCACGAAAUUUAUCCUGAAAAACAUGUAUUGAGGACUGCUUAAUCUGUACGUUUAACCUGAAAUCGUAGCGAAAAACAGAAGAAUGAGACGUGUCCCGCGUAAGGGGAAACGAAAAAUACUUUUAAAAAUUUUGGUUCGGAUAUCUGUUACACAGGCUUAUAUGUGAGGAUAAUAUUGAAGUGGAUCUUACAGAUAGAGAUUGUGAAUGUGUGGAGUGGUUUAAACAGUGCCAAGACAAAGAUCAAAGGUGGGCUCUUCUGAACAGGCAAUAAAUAUUUGUUGUUCAGUGAACCAGUUCUCUCUCUUUUGAGACAAAUUACUGACUGGACGAAUAGGUUCUUUUCAGUGACGAGACAUGCAUUAUGGAGUUGGUUAAACAUUUUUAAACGAUGUAUAAAGUUACACGGUAGAAACGUGGAACUUCCAUUUUAAUGGUCUGCUACAUGGCGUAUGUUGAGGGCAUGGAGAUACGAGUACAAUUUUAAGAUUGAGGUUGUAGAAUGUGUUGUGUGGAUGCGAGUGGUUCAAGAUCAUGUCUAGUAACGGGCUCUCUGUAUUGUCAGUUAUCUGGUGAUAAAGGCAGAAAGGA